UCAGAAUUGAGUCAAUUUUUUUCAUAAUUCCGUGGAAAUUGUAUGCAAUCCAGUAAUAGGCGUAUUGUUUCAUUGUUGAUGACGAUAUUUAGUCUAAACGUCCCUAUUGAUUGUACUGACGAGGAAUAUUUAGUCUAAACGUCCCUAAUGAAUACUUUGAUGAGGAAA